CAGUCGCCGCGGGAAUACGGAGGGAGCUAGCGUUGUUCGGAAUCACUGGGCGUAAAGCGCACGUAGGCGGCUAUUCAAGUCAGGGGUGAAAGCCCGGGGCUCAACCCCGGAACUGCCUUUGAAACUAGAUAGCUUGAAUCUUGGAGAGGCGAGUGGAAUUCCGAGUGUAGAGGUGAAAUUCGUGGAUAUUCGGAAGAACACCAGUGGCGAAGGCGACUCGCUGGACAAGUAUUGACGCUGAGGUGCGAAAGCGUGGGGAGCAAACAGGAUUAGAUACCCCAGUAGUCCCUGUCUCUUAUAC
rnacentral:rRNA from 1 species